rnacentral:rRNA from 1 species
ACGCACGCUGGCGGCGUGCUUAACACCUGCAAGUCGCACGGAAAGGCCUCUUUCGGGGGGUACUCGAGUGGCGAACGGGUGAGUAACACGUGAGUAACCUGCCCUUGACUUUGGGAUAACUUCAGGAAACUGGGGCUAAUACCGGAUAGGAGCUCCUGCUGCAUGGUGGGGGCUGGAAAGAUUCGGCGGCUGGGGCUGGACUCGCGGCUUAUCAGCUUGUUGGUGGGGUAGUGGCUUACCAAGGCUUUGACGGGUAGCCGGCCUGAGAGGGUGACCGGCCACAUUGGGACUGAUAUACGGCCCAGACUCCUACGGGCGGCAGCAGUGGGGAAUUUUGCACAAUGGGGGGAAGCCUGAUGCAGCAACGCCGUGUGCGAGAUGACGGCCUUCGUGUUGUAACCCUCUUUCGCUCAUGACGAAGCGUUCUGUGACGGUAGUUGGUAAAGAAGCACCGCCUAACUACGU